UACAGAGGUCCCAAGCGUUGUUCGGAUUCACUGGGCGUAAAGGGUGCGUAGGCGGCGCGGUAAGUCGGGUGUGAAAUCUCGGAGCUUAACUCCGAAACUGCAUUCGAUACUGCCGUGCUUGAGGACUGGAGAGGAGACUGGAAUUUACGGUGUAGCAGUGAAAUGCGUAGAUAUCGUAAGGAAGACCAGUGGCGAAGGCGAGUCUCUGGACAGUUACUGACGCUGAGGCACGAAGGCCAGGGGAGCAAACGGG
rnacentral:rRNA from 1 species